ensembl:miRNA
GUUUUACCUGAUACCCACACUGCCUGGGUGGGACACUCAGGCAGUGUGGGUCUCAGAUAAAAC